UACGUAGGGUGCGAGCGUUAAUCGGAAUUACUGGGCGUAAAGCGUGCGCAGGCGGUUUUGUAAGCCAGAUGUGAAAGCCCCGGGCUUAACCUGGGAAUGGCAUUUGGGACUGCAAGGCUUGAGUGCGGCAGAGGAGACUGGAAUUCCUGGUGUAGCAGUGAAAUGCGUAGAUAUCAGGAGGAAUACCGGAGGCGAAGGCGGCUCACUGGGUCUCUUCUGACGCUGAGGAACGAAAGCUAGGGGAGCAAACGGG
rnacentral:rRNA from 1 species